rnacentral:rRNA from 1 species
UGGGGAAUAUUGCACAAUGGGGGAAAGCCCUGAUGCAGCAACGCCGCGUGAAGGAAGACGGUUUUCGGAUUGUAAACUUCUGUUCUUAGUGAAGAAUAAUGACGGUAGCUAAGGAGCAAGCCACGGCUAACUACGUGCCAGCAGCCGCGGUAAUACGUAGGUGGCAAGCGUUGUCCGGAAUUACUGGGUGUAAAGGGAGCGCAGGCGGGAGACCAAGUCAGCUGUGAAAAGCUACGGGCUUAACCUGUAGACUGCAGUUGAAACUGGUUUUCUUGAGUGAAGUAGAGGUUGGCGGAAUUCCGAGUGUAGCGGUGAAAUGCGUAGAUAUUCGGAGGAACACCGGUGGCGAAGGCGGCCAACUGGGCUUUAACUGACGCUGAGGCUCGAAAGUGUGGGGAGCAAACAGGAUUAGAUACC